rnacentral:rRNA from 1 species
UACGUAGGGGGCUAGCGUUGUCCGGAUUUAUUGGGCGUAAAGAGCGUGUAGGCGGCCAGGUAGGUCUGCUGUGAAAACUCGAGGCUCAACCUCGAGACGUCGGCGGAAACCAUCUGGCUAGAGUCCGGAAGAGGAGAGUGGAAUUCCUGGUGUAGCGGUGAAAUGCGUAGAUAUCAGGAGGAACACCGGUGGUGUAGACGGCUUUCUGGACCGUAACUGACGCUGAAACACGAAAGCGUGGGUAGCAAACAGG